rnacentral:tRNA from 1 species
GGCCCGGUGGUCUAGGGGUAUGAUUCUCGUUUUGGGUGCGAGAGGUCUCGGGUUCAAAUCCCGGCCGGGCCC